rnacentral:rRNA from 1 species
GAUGAACGCUGGCGGCGUGCCUAAUACAUGCAAGUCGAGCGAACAGACGAGUAGCUUGCUCCUCUGACGUUAGCGGCGGACGGGUGAGUAACACGUGGAUAACCUACCUAUAAGACUGGGAUAACUUCGGGAAACCGGAGCUAAUACCGGAUAACAUGCUGAAACGCAUGGUUCAACAGUGAAAGAUGGUCUUGCUGUCACUUAUAGAUGGAUCCGCGCCGCAUUAGCUAGUUGGUAAGGUAACGGCUUACCAAGGCAACGAUGCGUAGCCGACCUGGGAGGGUGAUCGGCCACACUGGAACUGAGACACGGUCCAGACUCCUACGGGAGGCAGCAGUAGGGAAUCUUCCGCAAUGGGCGAAAGCCUGACGGAGCAACGCCGCGUGAGUGAAGAAGGUCUUCGGAUCGUAAAACUCUGUUAUGAGGGAAGAACAAAUGUGGAAGUAACUAUGCACGUCUUGACGGUACCUAAUCAGAAAGCCACGGCUAACUACGUG